rnacentral:tRNA from 1 species
CGUCGGCUCAGCUGGCUAGAGCAUCCCGACGCAGUCGGGAGGGUCAACGGUUCGAAUCCCUGCCUGACGG